rnacentral:rRNA from 1 species
UACGUAGGGGGCAAGCGUUGUCUGGAUUUAUUGGGCGUAAAGCGCGUGUAGGCGGCCAGGUAGGUCUGCUGUGAAAACUCGAGGCUCAACCUCGAGAUGUCGGCGGAAACCCUCUGGCUAGAGUCCGGAAGAGGAGAGUGGAAUUCCCGGUGUAGCGGUGAAAUGCGCAGAUAUCGGGGAAGAACACCCGGUGGCGAAGGCGGCUCUCUGGGACGGUACUGGACGCUGAGA